AGUCUAUGAUAGGGACAUAAACUUCACAUUUCCUUAAACCACUCACAUGUUUCAUAAAGAGAUUCCUCAUCCUUUUGAGUAAACUUAGUUAUUUGAGUUCUUUGUU